UGUGAGCUCGAUGAGUAGGGCGGGACACGUGGUAUCCUGUCUGAAUAUGGGGGGACCAUCCUCCAAGGCUAAAUACUCCUGACUGACCGAUAGUGAACCAGUACCGUGAGGGAAAGGCGAAAAGAACCCCGGCGAGGGGAGUGAAAAAGAACCUGAAACCGUGUACGUACAAGCAGUGGGAGCCUCUUUAUGGGGUGACUGCGUACCUUUUGUAUAAUGGGUCAGCGACUUAUAUUCUGUAGCAAGGUUAACCGAAUAGGGGAGCCGAAGGGAAACCGAGUCUUAACUGGGCGUUAAGUUGCAGGGUAUAGACCCGAAACCCGGUGAUCUAGCCAUGGGCAGGUUGAAGGUUGGGUAACACUAACUGGAGGACCGAACCGACUAAUGUUGAAAAAUUAGCGGAUGACUUGUGGCUGGGGGUGAAAGGCCAAUCAAACCGGGAGAUAGCUGGUUCUCCCCGAAAGCUAUUUAGGUAGCGCCUCGUGAAUUCAUCUCCGGGGGUAGAGCACUGUUUCGGCAAGGGGGUCAUCCCGACUUACCAACCCGAUGCAAACUGCGAAUACCGGAGAAUGUUAUCACGGGAGACACACGGCGGGUGCUAACGUCCGUCGUGAAGAGGGAAACAACCCAGACCGCCAGCUAAGGUCCCAAAGUCAUGGUUAAGUGGGAAACGAUGUGGGAAGGCCCAGACAGCCAGGAUGUUGGCUUAGAAGCAGCCAUCAUUUAAAGAAAGCGUAAUAGCUCACUGGUCGAGUCGGCCUGCGCGGAAGAUGUAACGGGGCUAAACCAUGCACCGAAGCUGCGGCAGCGACACUGUGUGUUGUUGGGUAGGGGAGCGUUCUGUAAGCCUGUGAAGGUGUACUGUGAGGUAUGCUGGAGGUAUCAGAAGUGCGAAUGCUGACAUAAGUAACGAUAAAGCGGGUGAAAAGCCCGCUCGCCGGAAGACCAAGGGUUCCUGUCCAACGUUAAUCGGGGCAGGGUGAGUCGACCCCUAAGGCGAGGCCGAAAGGCGUAGUCGAUGGGAAACAGGUUAAUAUUCCUGUACUUGGUGUUACUGCGAAGGGGGGACGGAGAAGGCUAUGUUGGCCGGGCGACGGUUGUCCCGGUUUAAGCGUGUAGGCUGGUUUUCCAGGCAAAUCCGGAAAAUCAAGGCUGAGGCGUGAUGACGAGGCACUACGGUGCUGAAGCAACAAAUGCCCUGCUUCCAGGAAAAGCCUCUAAGCAUCAGGUAACAUCAAAUCGUACCCCAAACCGACACAGGUGGUCAGGUAGAGAAUACCAAGGCGCUUGAGAGAACUCGGGUGAAGGAACUAGGCAAAAUGGUGCCGUAACUUCGGGAGAAGGCACGCUGAUAUGUAGGUGAAGCGACUUGCUCGUGGAGCUGAAAUCAGUCGAAGAUACCAGCUGGCUGCAACUGUUUAUUAAAAACACAGCACUGUGCAAACACGAAAGUGGACGUAUACGGUGUGACGCCUGCCCGGUGCCGGAAGGUUAAUUGAUGGGGUUAGCGCAAGCGAAGCUCUUGAUCGAAGCCCCGGUAAACGGCGGCCGUAACUAUAACGGUCCUAAGGUAGCGAAAUUCCUUGUCGGGUAAGUUCCGACCUGCACGAAUGGCGUAAUGAUGGCCAGGCUGUCUCCACCCGAGACUCAGUGAAAUUGAACUCGCUGUGAAGAUGCAGUGUACCCGCGGCAAGACGGAAAGACCCCGUGAACCUUUACUAUAGCUUGACACUGAACAUUGAGCCUUGAUGUGUAGGAUAGGUGGGAGGCUUUGAAGUGUGGACGCCAGUCUGCAUGGAGCCGACCUUGAAAUACCACCCUUUAAUGUUUGAUGUUCUAACGUUGACCCGUGAUCCGGGUUGCGGACAGUGUCUGGUGGGUAGUUUGACUGGGGCGGUCUCCUCCUAAAGAGUAACGGAGGAGCACGAAGGUUGGCUAAUCCUGGUCGGACAUCAGGAGGUUAGUGCAAUGGCAUAAGCCAGCUUGACUGCGAGCGUGACGGCGCGAGCAGGUGCGAAAGCAGGUCAUAGUGAUCCGGUGGUUCUGAAUGGAAGGGCCAUCGCUCAACGGAUAAAAGGUACUCCGGGGAUAACAGGCUGAUACCGCCCAAGAGUUCAUAUCGACGGCGGUGUUUGGCACCUCGAUGUCGGCUCAUCACAUCCUGGGGCUGAAGUAGGUCCCAAGGGUAUGGCUGUUCGCCAUUUAAAGUGGUACGCGAGCUGGGUUUAGAACGUCGUGAGACAGUUCGGUCCCUAUCUGCCGUGGGCGCUGGAGAAUUGAGGGGGGCUGCUCCUAGUACGAGAGGACCGGAGUGGACGCAUCACUGGUGUUCGGGUUGUCAUGCCAAUGGCACUGCCCGGUAGCUAAAUGCGGAAGAGAUAAGUGCUGAAAGCAUCUAAGCACGAAACUUGCCCCGAGAUGAGUUCUCCCUGACUCCUUGAGAGUCCUGAAGGAACGUUGAAGACGACGACGUUGAUAGGCCGGGUGUGUAAGCGCAGCGAUGCGUUGAGCUAACCGGUACUAAUGAACCGUGAGGCUUAACCUU
rnacentral:rRNA from 1 species